UACGGAGGGGGCUAGCGUUGUUCGGAAUUACUGGGCGUAAAGCGCACGUAGGCGGCGCGACAAGUCAGAGGUGAAAGGCCUGGGCUCAACCUAGGAACUGCCUUUGAAACUGGCGUGCUAGAGACCGGAAGAGGGUGACGGAAUUCCCAGUGUAGAGGUGAAAUUCGUAGAUAUUGGGAAGAACACCAGUGGCGAAGGCGGUCACCUGGUCCGGUACUGACGCUGAGGUGCGAAAGCGUGGGGAGCAAAC
rnacentral:rRNA from 1 species